rnacentral:lncRNA from 1 species
UCUCCACAUUUUCACAUAACAAUCCAUCUACCGUCCUUCCAAAUCUAACUUCUAAAAGUAAUAAACAAUGCCAAUGAGUUAGUGGUGGAGUGAUAAGGGAGAGACCUUGUGUUCCAAAUGACCCAAGGUUUUCUCCGGUUCGGAAGGCGAGUGUAUCCCGAUGUGGUGAAUUUCGCCAGUAACCCAUUUGGAGGAUUCGUUGGCCGUUAAAAAAAAAAGAAGUAAUAAACAAUAAUAUAAAAGUUAAAAGAAAAAAAAAUAAAAUAAAACUAAUAGAGUUUGACCUUAUCACAUCAAGGAAGUUCUCUCCACAAUUUCACAUAACAAUCCAUCUACCGUCCCUCCAAAUCUAAUUUUCUCUCUUGCGACGGUGUUAAAUUUUUUGAAACCAGUCAGAAUUAGAUCGUACAUAUAGCUAAAAAGGAAUAAUUUCAUUGGUUACAGAGAUCCGCCCUAAAAUCAAGUAAUCAAAGAGUUCGAUACAUAUAUUUUGUAAUUAGUUACACAAACAUAACCACCAUAUAUCAUAAGUCACCAGAAGCCGCAACUAAAAGUUACAUUACAUGCGGAGCAAACCAUCUUGGCACCGGGAAGGACAAGAUAGCCACCAAAAGUUGGGUCAAACAGUUCCUGGCAUAGACAGGGUUCCUGGCCCUUGAGCUUCCGGCAACAUUUCUCGGUGGGUGGCAAGUAUGAGACGAUGGAUUGUAAACACCAGCUCAGCUGCACUGGGUCACAUGUGGUUUCCGAUCCUGGUAGUUGUAGGUGUCCGGCUGACAGUCGCAGCACCAUCGCUGCUACCGUGAACAGCAGUA